rnacentral:rRNA from 1 species
AACGAACGCUGGCGGCGCGCCUAACACAUGCAAGUCGAACGAGAAGGCGUAGCAAUACGCUUGUAGAGUGGCGAACGGGUGAGUAAUACGUGGGUGACCUACCCUCGAGUGGGGAAUAACCCGCCGAAAGGCGGGCUAAUGCCGCGUACGCUUCCGUCCUCACGGGGACGGAAGGAAAGCUGUACCGUGGGUACGGCGCUCAAGGAUCCCGGGNUCACGUCCUAUCAGCUUGUUGGUAGGGUAACGGCCUACCAAGGCUACGACGGGUAGCUGGUCUGAGAGGACGAUCAGCCACACUGGCACUGCGACACGGGCCAGACUCCUACGGGAGGCAGCAGUGAGGAAUAUUGCGCAAUGGGCGAAAGCCUGACGCAGCGACGCCGCGUGGGG